GACGAACGCUGGCGGCGUGCCUAAUACAUGCAAGUGGGACGCAAGGACACACACUGUGCUUGCACACCGUGUUUUCUUGAGUCGCGAACGGGUGAGUAACGCGUAGGUAACCUGCCUAUUAGCGGGGGAUAACUAUUGGAAACGAUAGCUAAUACCGCAUAAUAUUAAUUAUUGCAUGAUAAUUGAUUGAAAGAUGCAAGCGCAUCACUAGUAGAUGGACCUGCGUUGUAUUAGCUAGUUGGUAAGGUAAGAGCUUACCAAGGCGACGAUACAUAGCCGACCUGAGAGGGUGAUCGGCCACACUGGGACUGAGACACGGCCCAGACUCCUACGGGAGGCAGCAGUAGGGAAUCUUCGGCAAUGGACGAAAGUCUGACCGAGCAACGCCGCGUGAGUGAAGAAGGGUGUCGGAUCGUAAAGCUCUGUUGUAAGUCAAGAACGUGUGUGAGAGUGGAAAGUUCACACAGUGACGGUAGCUUACCAGAAAGGGACGGCUAACUACGUG
rnacentral:rRNA from 1 species